GGCGGCGUGCUUAACACAUGCAAGUCGAGGGCAUUUGGGUAGCAAUACUCAAGUGACCGGCGAACGGGUGCGUAACACGUGAGCGACCUUGCCUCGUGGUGGGGGAUAGCCGGCCCAACGGCCGGGUAAUACCGCAUAUGGUAGUUUCUUCGCAUGGGGAGACUAGCAAAGCCUGACAGCAAUGUCAUGGCGCCACAGGGGGGGCUCGCGGCCUAUCAGCUAGUUGGGGGGGUAAUGGCCCACCAAGGCGACGACGGGUAGCUGGUCUGAGAGGAUGGCCAGCCACAUUGGGACUGAGAGACGGCCCAGACUCCUACGGGAGGCAGCAGUGGGGAAUCUUGCGCAAUGGCCGAAAGGCUGACGCAGCGACGCCGCGUGGGGGAGGAAGGCCUUCGGGUUGUAAACCCCUGUUGCCCGGGACGAAUGUGCUCUUUAGAGAGCAUUGACGGUACCGGGUGAGGAAGCACCGGCUAACUCCGUGCCAGCAGCCGCGGUAAUACGGA
rnacentral:rRNA from 1 species